UUCGGACGGGCCCCGCACAAGCAGCGGAGCGUGUGGUUUAAUUCGAUGUUACACGAAGAACCUUACCAGGGUUUGACAUGCAAGUGGUAGGAAGCCGAAAGGUGACCGACCUUCGGGGAGCUUGCACAGGUGCUGCAUGGCUGUCGUCAGCUCGUGUCGUGAGAUGUUCGGUUAAGUCCCGCAACGAGCGCAACCCUUAUCAUUAGUCGCUACGCAAGGGCACUCUAAUGAGACUGCCGGUGACAAACCGGAGGAAGGUGGGGAUGACGUCAAGUCCUCAUGGCCCUUAUGGGUAGGGCUUCACACGUCAUACAAUGGUCGGUACAGAGGGUUGCCAAGCCGCGAGGCGGAGCCAAUCCCACAAAGCCGAUCGUAGUCCGGAUUGUUCUCUGCAACUCGAGAGCAUGAAGUCGGAAUCGCUAGUAAUCGCAGGUCAGCAUACUGCGGUGAAUACGUUCCCGGGUCUU
rnacentral:rRNA from 1 species